AAUCAACGCUGGCGGCGUGCCUCAGACAUGCAAGUCGAACGAUUGAGACUCCCUUCGGGGAGUGCAUAAAGUGGCGCACGGGUGAGUAACACGUAAGUAAUCUACCCUCGAGUGGGGAAUAACAUCGGGAAACCGAUGCUAAUACCGCAUAAUGCAGCGGCACCGCAAGGUGACAGUUGUUAAAGGAGUAAUUCGCUUGAGGAGGAGCUUGCGGCAGAUUAGCUAGUUGGUAAGGUAACGGCUUACCAAGGCUACGAUCUGUAUCCGGCCUGAGAGGGCGGUCGGACACACUGACACUGAAUAACGGGUCAGACUCCUACGGGAGGCAGCAGUCGGGAAUUUUGGGCAAUGGGCGAAAGCCUGACCCAGCAACGCCGCGUGAGGGAUGAAGUAUUUCGGUAUGUAAACCUCGAAAGAAUAGGAAGAAUAAAUGACGGUACUAUUUAUAAGCUCCGGCUAACUACGUGCCAGCCGCCGCGGUAAAAC
rnacentral:rRNA from 1 species